CUGGCGGCGUGCCUAAUACAUGCAAGUCGAACGGUCUUUCUAUGGAAGCUUGCUUCCACUGAGAAGAUAGUGGCGAACGGGUGAGUAACACGUGGGUAACCUGCCCAUAAGAGGGGGGAUAACAUCCGGAAACGGGUGCUAAUACCGCAUAGUUUUCCUGAUUGCAUGAUUGAGAAAGGAAAGACGGCCUUUGUGCUGUCGCUUAUGGAUGGACCCGCGGCGUAUUAGUUAGUUGGUGAGGUAACGGCUCACCAAGACGAUGAUACGUAGCCGACCUGAGAGGGUGAUCGGCCACAUUGGGACUGAGACACGGCCCAAACUCCUACGGGAGGCAGCAGUAGGGAAUCUUCCGCAAUGGACGAAAGUCUGACGGAGCAACGCCGCGUGAGUGAAGAAGGUUUUCGGAAUCGUAAAACUCUGUUGUCAGAGAAGAACAAGUUGGAGAGUAACUGCUCCAGCCUUGACGGUAUCUGACCAGAAAGCCACGGCUAACUACGUGCCAGCAGCAGC
rnacentral:rRNA from 1 species